rnacentral:sRNA from 1 species
GCCAGGCACUGUGGUGCGUGCCUGUAAUCCCAGCAACCUGGAAACCCAAGGCAGGAGGAUUGCAGGUUUGAAGCCAGCCUCAGCCAUUUAGCAAGACCCUGUCUUGA